rnacentral:rRNA from 1 species
UACGGAGGGUGCGAGCGUUGUCCGGAAUCACUGGGCGUAAAGGGCGCGUAGGCGGCUUCUCAAGCGUGUGGUGAAAGUCCGGGGCUCAACCCCGGAUCGGCCGUGCGGACUGGGGAGCUCGAGUUCUGUAGAGGCGGGUGGAAUUCCGGGUGUAGCGGUGGAAUGCGUAGAGAUCCGGAAGAACACCGGUGGCGAAGGCGGCCCGCUGGGCAGAGACUGACGCUCAUGCACGAAAGCGUGGGGAGCAAACAGG